ACAUCUUAUGACACCAACCGCAUACCUGAGUUCAAUUGGUGUCAAUACGCCCUUCAAAGUCUGGUUGACGGGACCGUUUAUUGGAAAAAAAGAAACGUCGCGCUUCUUUACAAGACCCUUGCCAUUCCUUAUGACUAACUUUCGAUCCUCCAAGGACAUUUCCACUUAUCUCUGCGUGGAAUAAAAAUUCUGUGAAAGAAAGAGUAGAGCUGGAAUUGACGUUCGGGUUUGGUUUGGGAACGUUGUUAGAAAGGAUCGAAGCCCCUUUUCCGGUUCAGCAACCACAACAACUGGAAAUGCAACACCACCGUCAAGAGCAACUUCAGCAUGACGAGCAGCUGGACCAAGAGCAAAGCAAGCUUCCGGCCACUAUGAAGGAGUUUAUGCAUCAAUUCGGUGAGGUGACUGGCACAAUAGCCAAUGGUUUUGUUAAACUCACCAACCUCCUAGCAAUUGGGGAGAAAAUAUCACCAGGGAAUAUAUUUAAGGAAGACAUGGCGUUUAACUUAGCUAACAUGUGGUCAAAGUGCUCUGGUUCUCAUCUUCCCUCUGAAUUCAAACUUAUGAGUCAACAAGGUGGGAGCAGGUCCUUGCUUAGUCAAGACACUGAUAUGUAUUCUUCUAUUUGGUUUGAAAAUGUCAUGGAUGAAAUUGUUAAGAAGGAAAUUGGUCAGGAGCAGGCACCCCAGGAAGAUCAAAUACCCGAACAAUACCAAGUACAUCAAGAACCCCUUCUUGAUCAAUCAAACCAACAAGCAGACCAACAAGCAGACACCUCUUUUGAAUUGAACCUGGGUUUGAGGGUGGCUUCUAGUUCAUAAAUACAUGUUAAUGAAUUGGAUUUACUACAUUAUGAAGAACAUUCGAAGGUGGAUAAAAGAACAAGUGGUGACAAUGUGCUGAAUGAUCCGAAUCAGGGUAUGGAAGAACACCAAUCUUCAUUACCCACAACAACACCGGAGCACAAAGAGCCCAAUCAUCUUCAAAGAUCUAGAGAAGAUUAUGCAAAACCAAAAGAUAAAAGAGCAAGAAAGCUUCCAUCAAUUUUUAGAUCUCCGUUUUUGGUUCAGUACUCUCAUUUGUUGAGUGGGAAGGAGAAAGAUAUUAAUCGCAUUUUGGAUUACGCAUUUUGCCCAGAUCUUGAUGAAAAUGAGAUAUUGUACGAAGAUGGAGUCAACAUGGUUAACAGAGAGUACUUCAAACACUGAGAGAUGAUGUUUGCAUACGUAGUGAUGUAAUUGAUUCGUGGGUAUACAUCCUCAACGAUACGGACAAGCCAAGGAAAACAGGGAAAGGGUGUUCUUCCCCGUAGAAGCCUUCUUAAGUUUACUUACCCUUUUAGUUUGUAAACCAUAUCAUCAACUUGUAUUUAAUUAAACACCCUCUGUGGUUGUAAUGUGCAGAAUAUCCUUAUUCACAUUGAUAAUGCUGGAGGAAAUAGUCAAUUUAGUGAUUGUGCAAGGCUGCAAAAAUUUAUUGACAGUUGUUCAUAUAAUAUGGAACAACACAAUAUUAGUUCCCUUAAAGGCUAUAGUCUGAUUUUCUUCCCAAUUUAUGAACAAUCACACUGCUACGUGAUGUGCAUAAAUAUAAAGAAUAAGACUUUGGACAUCUUGGACAACAAAAUCCUAGAGGAAGGAAUGAGUCGUGAGAAAAAGUAUUAUGAUUAUCCUGAAAAACUUCUAGGAGCAUUCUCCAUGUACAUCAAUAGUUUGGGACACAAAUUAAAAAGACCAUUAACCGAAUACAAUGUUCGGAUAAUAGAAAUGCCGUGGAGAAAUAAUAAAAACAAUACGGACUGUGGAAUAUAUACAAUGAAGCACAUGGAAACGUACCAUGCUAAAGAGAGAUGGGGAUGUAGCUUGGAACCGGAUAAUGAUGAUAUUUUGAAGCAACUGCGAUUAAAAUAUUCUGCUGAAAUUAUUUCCUGCAAGAAAAAUCAGAAGAAGGCUGACGUCAAUGUAAAAGCAUCGAGAUAGGCACACGACACCAAUUAGAUAACGUUUACAUCGUAGGGUUAUUAAGGAGAAAUAAUGUAUUUUUUUAUGAUACUGGAUCAAUUGUUAUUUUUGAGAUUUACACUGUUUUUUGUUUGUUUUGGUAUUAGUUUUUCACAUUGUUUUGAUUGUGAGUUAGAAUGUUCUUUUAAAUUAGAAAAAUCUUCCAUCUGGUGGAACUUGGUGUUCUUCCAGAAUGGGUAAAUGCAGUUUUGUUGAGUUCUACUGAAAUGAAUUCCAAGUGCUACAAAACAUUUUUUUUUCCUUGA